rnacentral:rRNA from 1 species
UGGGGAAUAUUGGACAAUGGGCGCAAGCCUGAUCCAGCAACGCCGCGUGGAGGAUGAAGGUCUUCGGAUCGUAAACUCCUGUCAGGUGGGACGAAGGCAGGGGGGUGAACAAUCCCUCUGUUUGACGGUACUACCAGAGGAAGCCCCGGCUAACUCCGUGCCAGCAGCCGCGGUAAUACGGAGGGGGCGAGCGUUAUUCGGAAUUAUUGGGCGUAAAGGGCGCGUAGGCGGCUUUCUAAGUCAAAGGUGAAAUCCCUCGGCUCAACUGAGGAACUGCCUUUGAAACUGGAAGGCUUGAGGCCGGGAGGGGGUAGCGGAAUUCCCAGUGUAGCGGUGAAAUGCGUAGAUAUUGGGAGGAACACCAGUGGCGAAGGCGGCUACCUGGACCGGUUCUGACGCUGAUGCGCGAAAGCGUGGGUAGCAAACAGGAUUAGAUACCCUGGUAGUCCACGCUGUAAACGAUGGGUGCUCGGUGUCGCGGGUAUCGACCCCUGCGGUGCCUUAGCUAACGCGUUAAGCACCCCGCCUGGGGAGUACGGUC